AUCUCUGGCUCCUUUGCAUUUAACCGAGAAAAUCUUUCGCCUUUUACUAAAGAUUUCCGUGCAAAGGUGCAUCUUAUGAGUAUCAAGUAAUUAGCGAUGUUGUUGUUAAGCCGUGUACCAAG
rnacentral:snRNA from 1 species